rnacentral:rRNA from 1 species
GCAGUGCUGAUGCGGAGGGAUCAUUA